UAGGCGGUUUUUUAAGUCUGAUGUGAAAGCCCACGGCUCAACCGUGGAGGGUCAUUGGAAACUGGAAAACUUGAGUGCAGAAUAGGAAAGUGGAAUUCCAUGUGUAGCGGUGAAAUGCGCAGAGAUAUGGAGGAACACCAGUGGCGAAGGCGACUUUCUGGUCUGUAACUGACGCUGAUGUGCGAAAGCGUGGGGAUCAAACAGGAUUAGAUACCCUGGUAGUCCACGCCGUAAACGAUGAGUGCUAAGUGUUAGGGGGUUUCCGCCCCUUAGUGCUGCAGCUAACGCAUUAAGCACUCCGCCUGGGGAGUACGACCGCAAGGUUGAAGCUCAAAGGAAUUGACGGGGACCCGCACAAGCGGUGGAGCAUGUGGUUUAAUUCGAAGCAACGCGAAGAACCUUACCAAAUCUUGACAUCCUUUGACCCUUCUAGAGAUAGAAGUUUCCCCUUCGGGGGACAAAGUGACAGGUGGUGCAUGGUUGUCGUCAGCUCGUGUCGUGAGAUGUUGGGUUAAGUCCCGCAACGAGCGCAACCCUUAAGCUUAGUUGCCAUCAUUAAGUUGGGCACCCUAAGUUGACUGCCGGUGACAAACCGGAGGAAGGUGGGGAUGACGUCAAAUCAUCAUGCCCCUUAUAAUUUGGGCUACACACGUGCUACAAUGGACAAUACAAAGGGCAGCGAAACCGCGAGGUCAAGCAAAUCCCAUAAAGUUGUUCUCAGUUCGGAUUGUAGUCUGCAACUCGACUACAUGAAGCUGGAAUCGCUAGUAAUCGUAGAUUAGCAUGCUACGGUGAAUACG
rnacentral:rRNA from 1 species